rnacentral:lncRNA from 1 species
AUGAUGAAGAUGCCAGCCAGACAUGCAAACAUAGAGCAGAGACACACAAUAAGUCUACAGGAAAGUGAUGAAGAUGCCAGAAAAACAAAUGAGCUGAGAGCAGAAACUUCAACAAUAAGCCAUGAUAGUGAUGAAGACAGCCAAACAGAAGAGCAGAAACUUUUAAUGAAGCACAGAGCUCUCAGAGCAAUGAUGACGCUGGCAGCCAAACAGAAGUGCAAAGAGCAGACCUAUAAACAUUGGAACAGAAAGAACUUCAGCAUAUUGCCCACCUGUGGAACACCCACAUUAUUCAGAGAAGCAGAAAUGCAGUUGCACCUAGUGGCCGGCCUCACAUGAUGUACAUGCUUCCUCAGCUUUUUGGGGAAAGGACUAUCUCAAACAUGCAUCUGUGCAAGCAGUACAAACAUGCAGAGCACAAUGCAUACAACGAGGACCUUACCCAUGUGAUGAGACUGCCAUCCACUGGAAGGUUAAUGUGAACACAGACAACUUCCUUCAUCUCCCAUCCACAAUUGAACUGUAUCUAUUUUUAAGAACUUGCAUACGUAAAGAUUUGUGAAAUAAGCUAUCCUGGCUAGUAAAGCACCACCUGCAUUAAUAUUUUUCUAUUCAUAUUGUGUGAAGGUGUGAUAGCAGUGUUACAGAUUUUUCCAUUUAAAGGUAAUAAAAUAAACAAAUAGUUUAUAACA